AGUUUGAUAGGGUAGUGGAUACACUCAGGGCUGUCAAUCCUUCGUCCCGGGUUAGAACCCCGGUUGUAGUC